GGCCGUGUGGCGAAAUGGCAUCGCGUCUGACUACGACUUCCGUCGACAUCAGGAGAUUGCAGGUUCGACCCCUGUCUCGGCCA